GGGCCCGCACAAGCGGUGGAGCAUGUGGUUUAAUUCGAUGAUACGCGAGGAACCUUACCAGGGCUUAAAUGUAAGUUGCAUUAGUUAGAGAUAGCUAUUUCUUCGGACCACUUACAAGGUGCUGCAUGGUUGUCGUCAGCUCGUGCCGUGAGGUGUCAGGUUAAGUCCUAUAACGAGCGCAACCCCUGUUGUUAGUUGCCAGCGAGUCAUGUCGGGAACUCUAACGGAACUGCCGGUGCAAACCGUGAGGAAGGUGGGGACGACGUCAAGUCAUCAUGGCCCUUACGGCCUGGGCUACACACGUGCUACAAUGGCUAGGACAGACGGCCGCAAACCCGCGAGGGGGAGCCAA
rnacentral:rRNA from 1 species